rnacentral:ribozyme from 1 species
GCUGCAAGUUUUGAGGCCAUAGAAGAAGCACUCACAGUAUAGCCCUGCUAGAUUCCAAUGAAUCUGCAAAUUCUGCU